GUGGGGAAUCUUCCGCAAUGGACGAAAGUCUGACGGAGCAACGCCGCGUGAGUGAUGAAGGUCUUCGGAUUGUAAAGCUCUGUUAAUCGGGACGAAAGAGCCUAGUGUGAAUAAUGCUAGGAAGUGACGGUACCGGAAUAGAAAGCCACGGCUAACUACGUGCCAGCAGCCGCGGUAAUACGUAGGUGGCAAGCGUUGUCCGGAAUUAUUGGGCGUAAAGCGCGCGCAGGCGGAUCUGCCAGUCUGUCUUAAAAGUUCGGGGCUUAACCCCAUGAUGGGAUGGAAACUACAGAUCUAGAGUAUCGGAGAGGAAAGUGUAAUACCUAGUGUAGCGGUGAAAUGCGUAGAUAUUAGGAAGAACACCAGUGGCGAAGGCGACUGUCUGGACGAAAACUGACGCUGAGGCGCGAAAGCCAGGGGAGCGAACGGGAUUAGAUACCCCAGUAGUCC
rnacentral:rRNA from 1 species